CCUACGGGUGGCAGCAGUAGGGAAUCUUCCACAAUGGACGAAAGUCUGAUGGAGCAACGCCGCGUGAGUGAAGAAGGGUUUCGGCUCGUAAAGCUCUGUGGGUAGUGAAGACAGAUAGAGGUAGUAACUGGUCUUUAUUUGACGGUAAUUACUUAGAAAGUCACGGCUAACUACGUGCCAGCAGCCGCGGUAAUACGUAGGUGGCAAGCGUUGGCCGGAUUUGUUGGGCGUAAAGCGAGUGCAGGCGGUUCAAUAAGUCUGAUGUGAAAUCCUUCGGCUCAACCGGAGAAUUGCAUCAGAAACUGUUGAACUUGAGUGCAGAAGAGGAGAGUGGAACUCCAUGUGUAGCGGUGGAAUGCGUAGAUAUAUGGAAGAACACCAGUGGCGAAGGCGGCUCUCUGGUCUGCAACUGACGCUGAGGCUCGAAAGCAUGGGUAGCGAACAGGAUUAGAUACCCUUGUAGUC
rnacentral:rRNA from 1 species